rnacentral:rRNA from 1 species
UACGAACUGUCCAAACGUUGUUCGGAAUCACUGGGCUUAAAGGGCGCGUAGGCGGUCGGCCAAGUCAGGGGUGAAAUCCUGCAGCUUAACUGUAGAAGUGCCUUUGAUACUGGUCGUCUCGAGGGAGGUAGGGGUGUGUGGAACUCACAGUGGAGCGGUGAAAUGCGUUGAUAUUGUGAGGAACGCCGGAGGCGAAAGCGACGCACUGGACCUCUUCUAACGCUGAGGCGCGAAAGCCAGGGGAGCAAACGGG